AGCCGCGGUAAUACGUAGGGUGCAAGCGUUAUCCGGAAUUAUUGGGCGUAAAGAGCUCGUAGGCGGUUUGUCGCGUCUGCUGUGAAAUCCCGAGGCUCAACCUCGGGCCUGCAGUGGGUACGGGCAGACUAGAGUGCGGUAGGGGAGAUUGGAAUUCCUGGUGUAGCGGUGGAAUGCGCAGAUAUCAGGAGGAACACCGAUGGCGAAGGCAGAUCUCUGGGCCGUAACUGACGCUGAGGAGCGAAAGGGUGGGGAGCAAACAGGCUUAGAUACCCUGGUAGUCCACCCCGUAAACGUUGGGAACUAGUUGUGGGGUCCUUUCCACGGAUUCCGUGACGCAGCUAACGCAUUAAGUUCCCCGCCUGGGGAGUACGGCCGCAAGGCUAAAACUCAAAGGAAUUGACGGGGACCCGCACAAGCGGCGGAGCAUGCGGAUUAAUUCGAUGCAACGCGAAGAACCUUACCAAGGCUUGACAUAUACGAGAACGCUGCCAGAAAUGUAGAACUCUUUGGACACUCGUAAACAGGUGGUGCAUGGUUGUCGUCAGCUCGUGUCGUGAGAUGUUGGGUUAAGUCCCGCAACGAGCGCAACCCUCGUUCUAUGUUGCCAGCACGUAAUGGUGGGAACUCAUGGGAUACUGCCGGGGUCAACUCGGAGGAAGGUGGGGAUGACGUCAAAUCAUCAUGCCCCUUAUGUCUUGGGCUUCACGCAUGCUACAAUGGCCGGUACAAAGGGCUGCAAUACCGUGAGGUGGAGCGAAUCCCCAAAAAGCCGGUCCCAGUUCGGAUUGUAGGUCUGCAACUCGACCUACAUGAAGUCGGAGUCGCUAGUAAUCGCAGAUCAGCAACGCUGCGGUGAAUACGUUCCCGGGUCUUGUACACACCGCCCGU
rnacentral:rRNA from 1 species